rnacentral:lncRNA from 1 species
UUCUGGCGGUUAUUAUUUUAGUAUUGUGUCGGUUAUAACCGAUAAAAAUUCACUUUACACCAAAAGCUUUUCAACUUGUUGUUCUUUCAGAUUUCGUUUUCUUCCUCAUCUUCAUUUUACUUGUUUUCUCUUCAUCUUCAAUCUUUCUCUUCUUCUCCCCUCAUUUUGUAAGUUUUUCAAUUCUUUUGCUUCAUAUUUUAAAAUGUUAUAUUGAUUAAAAAUAAAUAAACAAAUGGUUUAAAUAUUUUUUUUUCACUCACGGUCCCGUUACCUAAUCUCUGAAUGUUUUUUUUUUUUUUUGUGAUUUUUUACACAUACUAUCUCGGAGUAUAUACAAACAUAUUUGACGGUUCGUUGAAACUAGUUUCGUAGAAUGCAUAUCCUAUCAAAUUGAUAGAUUUAACAAACACUUAAGAGU